AACGAACGCUGGCGGCAGGCCUAACACAUGCAAGUCGAACGCUCCGCAAGGGGAGUGGCGCACGGGUGAGUAACACGUGGGAACCUACCUUCUGGUACGGAACAACCAAGGGAAACUUUGGCUAAGACCGUAUACGACCUCCGGGUGAAAGAUUGAUCGCCGGAAGAGGGCCCGCGUCCGAUUAGGUAGUUGGUGAGGUAACGGCUCACCAAGCCUUCGAUCGGUAGCUGGUCUGAGAGGAUGACCAGCCACACUGGACUGAGACACGGCCCAGACUCCUACGGGAGGCAGCAGUGGGGAAUAUUGGACAAUGGGCGCAAGCCU
rnacentral:rRNA from 1 species